CGGAAAGGCCCUUCGGGGUACUCGAGCGGCGAACUUGUCAGUAACACGUGAGCAACCUGCCCUGGGGUGGGGGAUAACCGAUGGAAACGUCGGCUAAUACCGCAUACGUCCUAAGGGAGAAAGAUUUAUCGCCCUGGGAGGGGCCCGCGUCGGAUUAGCUAGUUGGUGGGGUAACGGCCUACCAAGGCGACGAUCCGUAGCCGACCUGAGAGGACGACCAGCCACAAUGGAACUGAUACUCGGUCCAUACUCCUACGGGAGGCAGCAGUGGG
rnacentral:misc_RNA from 1 species